CAUUGUGACCCUAUCUGUUCCUUGAUUUCGACAACAUCCAAGAAAAACGGAAAUACAUACCGUAUUUCGGACAUUCGUGUUGAAAUAAACAAAUUAUCCG